rnacentral:lncRNA from 1 species
UAUUAUCCAAGCAGGUGAGAGAGGAGUGCAGCUCAGACCACAGAACUGGAAACCAAGGGAAUGUUAAAGGUUUGGGAUAAAAAAAUAUAAACUGAGAUAAAUGUAAAUAUACAGCUUACUGAAAUUGCUUUUCCUUAUCUGAUGAACCAGUGAGUUAAGAUGAUGACUCAAUUAAGGGAAGACUGGUUUUUCUUUUCUUGACUUUUCUUGGGGGUUGAGGUCAGCCUCUGUUGGCAGAUGGUGUUUGCAGAUCUGAAGGCUGUUUGCUCUUUUAGUGAACUGUGGCUUUGGGAACACAAAAGUGGACCAGUGGCAGGACAACUGAUCCUUGAAUAAUGUGCCAAAGUCGGAUUUUAAUGAGAUUUUUGGCUACCUUUUUUUAAAAACACACUUCAGAAAAUCACCCUUCCGUUCUGCAGAAAAUCAAAUGAAAAAAUAAUUAAACUUUCCAGCAGGUUGCUGGGAAAGCAGUGGAGUGGACAGAUGAUGGGCAGUGGGGUCUGUCUCAGGAGGCUUCUGCUUUGUGGAGAAUGUACCCCAAGCACCAUGGAGUGAGACCGGGAGCCUCUCAAAGGGUCUUACUUCACUGUUGAAAUGUCAAAUUAGAGAUGUCAGCAACAUUUUAUUUCAAAGGGGAAAUGUGUUUAAGAAAUUCAUAAGAAAAUCUCUACAACUAAUUUUACUUGGUUUGAUACUUUUGAUCUAUUUUUGUAUGUUUUCAUAAAACAGACUGGGACACUGUUAUUGAUUUAUCUUUGUGUUUGAU